UUUAAAUCCUAGAAAUCCAACCAACACUUGGUCAAGGGAAAAGAAACUGAAAGGUUUUGCCUUUUUCCGAUGAGGCCUUCGACGGAACCCUAAAGAGUUCCUAGGCUCCUCGAAUCGGUAGAAAAAGACCGACGACGGUGGCGGCGACGACGCAUCUCAAGUAAGAAUUUUUCUUCUUUUUUUUUUACUUCGAAAAUAAAAUAAAAAUAAAAUGCUACCUUUUGGUUUGAAAUCUGAUUUUUUUGUAUAUUUUUCUCUGUAUUCGAUAUUUUUAUUUUCAAAAAAAGUCCCCCUUUUACAAUCUAUUUUUAGGCUUUUUAUAGCCAGAUUAUACUAUUAUUUUUCUUUUUUCUACUGUUCUCGCUACUAUUCGCUGUCUUUUCUUCUUUUUUUUCUUACAGGCGGUGGUUGAGGAUGACGGUGGCAGAGGUAGACCUAGGGUGUGCAUGCUGACAUGGCCAAGGCAUAGGAGAGGUGGCGGGGCUAGGGUUUCUGUUUUGUUGAAAAAUGUUUAGGUUUUUGGGCUUAUUGGGCCAUUAAAGUUUUUUGAUUUGGGCCAUAUUAGGUCAUAUUGUAAAUGGACUGUUAUGGACUUUUGAUUUAUGGUUUUAUUUAUUUUAUUUUUGGUUUGUUUUUUUGGGCCUGGGCAAAAUUGAGCUUCUACAUAUAUAAUUUAUAAAAUUUU
rnacentral:lncRNA from 1 species